rnacentral:tRNA from 1 species
GCCCGGGUGGCUCAGUGGUUGAGCACCUGCCUUCGGCCCAGGGUGUGACCCCGGGGUCUCGGGAUCGAGUCCCGCAUCGGGCU